rnacentral:rRNA from 1 species
AGAGUUUGAUCCUGGCUCAGAUUGAACGCUGGCGGAAUGCUUAACACAUGCAAGUCGAGGGGUAACACGGGUGCUUGCACCUGGUGACGACCGGCGGAUGGGUGAGUAACACGUAUGGAACCUGCCCCUUACUGGAGGAUAGCCCGGAGAAAUCCGGAUUAAUACUCCGUAAUAAAGGAAGUGGCAUCACUUCUUUUUGAAAGCUCCGGCGGUAAGGGAUGGCCAUGCGCCCGAUUAGCUUGUUGGUGGGGUAACGGCCCACCAAGGCGACGAUCGGUAGGGGGCCUGAGAGGGUUAUCCCCCACACUGGUACUGAGACACGGACCAGACUCCUACGGGAGGCAGCAGUGAGGAAUAUUGCGCAAUGGAGGCAACUCUGACGCAGCCAUGCCGCGUGCAGGAAGAAGGCGCUAAGCGUUGUAAACUGCUUUUGAACGGAAAGAAACCCCGGGACGUGUCCCGGGUUGACGGUACCGGUCGAAUAAGCACCGGCUAACUUCGUGCCAGCAGCCGCGGUAAUACGAAGGGGUGCAAGCGUUAUCCGGAUUCAUUGGGUUUAAAGGGUGCGUAGGCGGAACGAUAAGUCGGCGGUG